AUUGAACGCUGGCGGCAGGCCUAACACAUGCAAGUCGAGCGGCAGCGGGAAAGUAGCUUGCUACUUUUGCCGGCGAGCGGCGGACGGGUGAGUAAUGCCUGGGGAUCUGCCCAGUCGAGGGGGAUAACAGUUGGAAACGACUGCUAAUACCGCAUACGCCCUACGGGGGAAAGGAGGGGACCUUCGGGCCUUUCGCGAUUGGAUGAACCCAGGUGGGAUUAGCUAGUUGGUGGGGUAAUGGCUCACCAAGGCGACGAUCCCUAGCUGGUCUGAGAGGAUGAUCAGCCACACUGGAACUGAGACACGGUCCAG
rnacentral:rRNA from 1 species